AUAAAUGCUAUGAUGGAGAGAGUAGUUUUUAGAUAAUUUCACAGAGAGUUGGAGAAGCUGAGAACCAAUAAAUUUAUAAAAAUGAAAAUCACUCCUAAGCUGCAGGCUGAACGAUUAAUCUAUUAAGCUGAGCCGGUUAAAUACCGUUAUAUUGAAAGAGUGUUACAAAUGUAGGGUAGUAUAUACAUUUGUAAAAUUAGGGUGGUAACGCGAGUAAUAACUCGUCCCUUUC
rnacentral:ncRNA from 1 species